CUCCUACUGGAGGCAGCAGUGGGGAAUAUUGCACAAUGGGCGAAAGCCUGAUGCAGCAACGCCGCGUGAACGAUGAAGGUCUUCGGAUCGUAAAGUUCUGUUGCAGGGGAAGAUAAUGACGGUACCCUGUGAGGAAGCCCCGGCUAACUACGUGCCAGCAGCCGCGGUAAUACGUAGGGGGCUAGCGUUAUCCGGAUUUACUGGGCGUAAAGGGUGCGUAGGUGGUCCUUCAAGUCGGUGGUUAAAGGCUACGGCUCAACCGUAGUAAGCCGCCGAAACUGGAGGACUUGAGUGCAGGAGAGGAAAGUGGAAUUCCCAGUGUAGCGGUGAAAUGCGUAGAUAUUGGGAGGAACACCAGUAGCGAAGGCGGCUUUCUGGACUGCAACUGACACUGAGGCACGAAAGCGUGGGUAGCAAACAGGAUUAGAUACCCUGGUAGUCCACGCUGUAAACGAUGAGUACUAGGUGUCGGGGGUUACCCCCCUCGGUGCCGCAGCUAACGCAUUAAGUACUCCGCCUGGGGAGUACGCACGCAAGUGUGAAACUCAAAGGAAUUGACGGGGACCCGCACAAGUAGCGGAGCAUGUGGUUUAAUUCGAAGCAACGCGAAGAACCUUACCUAAGCUUGACAUCCCUCGGACAGGUGUUUAAUCACACCCUUCCUUCGGGACUGAGGUGACAGGUGGUGCAUGGUUGUCGUCAGCUCGUGUCGUGAGAUGUUGGGUUAAGUCCCGCAACGAGCGCAACCCUUGUCUUUAGUUGCCAGCAUUCAGUUGGGCACUCUAGAGAGACUGCCAGGGAUAACCUGGAGGAAGGUGGGGAUGACGUCAAAUCAUCAUGCCCCUUAUGCUUAGGGCUACACACGUGCUACAAUGGGUGGUACAGAGGGUUGCCAAACCGUGAGGUGGAGCCAAUCCCUUAAAGCCAUUCUCAGUUCGGAUUGUAGGCUGAAACUCGCCUACAUGAAGCUGGAGUUACUAGUAAUCGCAGAUCAGAAUGCUGCGGUGAAUGCGUUCCCGGGUCUUGUACACACCGC
rnacentral:rRNA from 1 species